UGAGGAAUAUUGGUCAAUGGACGGAAGUCUGAACCAGCCAAGUAGCGUGCAGGAUGACGGCCCUAUGGGUUGUAAACUGCUUUUGUAUGGGGAUAAAGUUAGGGACGUGUCCCUAUUUGCAGGUACCAUACGAAUAAGGACCGGCUAAUUCCGUGCCAGCAGCCGCGGUAAUACGGAAGGUCCAGGCGUUAUCCGGAUUUAUUGGGUUUAAAGGGAGCGUAGGCUGGAGAUUAAGUGUGUUGUGAAAUGUAGACACUCAACGUCUGAAUUGCAGCGCAUACUGGUUUCCUUGAGUACGCACAACGUUGGCGGAAUUCGUCGUGUAGCGGUGAAAUGCUUAGAUAUGACGAAGAACUCCGAUUGCGAAGGCAGCUGACGGGAGCGCAACUGACGCUUAAGCUCGAAGGUGCGGGUAUCAAACAGGAUUAGAUACCCUGGUAGUCCGCACAGUAAACGAUGGAUGCCCGCUGUUGGUACCUGGUAUCAGCGGCUAAGCGAAAGCAUUAAGCAUCCCACCUGGGGAGUACGCCGACNCGGU
rnacentral:rRNA from 1 species